rnacentral:rRNA from 1 species
CUCCACCCUACUGGGUGGUAGCCUCUGCUCAAUGAACUAAAUAGCCGCAGUAUCUUGACUGUGCUAAGGUAGCAUAGUAGUUAGUUUAUUAAUAGUAAACUUGAAUGAAAGAGCUGACAACUUCUAACAGUACCGGCCCCCUACCUGAAAUUAUAAAGCUAGUAAAAAUACGAGCUUGCCCCAAUCAGACGACAAGACCCUGUGAAGCUUUACUCUAUCUAUAUACUCAGGAUCUCUCUAAGAGUUGAGCUGGGGCGGCAUCCAAGGUAAACCUUGGUAGAUAUAACCCUUGGGAGUUAAAAGACCUUUAGAAUAAUUAGAACAAGCUACUCCAGGGAUAACAGCACAAUUCUUCUAUAGAGCUCUUAUCGACAGAAGAGAGUUGUGACCUCGAUGUUGAAUUGAGCUGGCUCAGGAGGGCAGCCCCUCCUAAGAGUAAGUCUGUUCGACUUUUAAUAGCUCA